rnacentral:rRNA from 1 species
AGCAGCAGCCACGGGAAUACGAAGGGUGCAAGCGUUACUCGGAAUUACUGGGCGUAAAGCGUGCGUAGGUGGUGGUUUAAGUCCGUUGUAAAAGCCCUGGGCUCAACCUGGGAAUUGCAGUGGAUACUGGGUCACUAGAGUGUGGUAGAGGAUAGUGGAAUUUCCGGUGUAGCAGUGAAAUGCGUAGAGAUCGGAAGGAACAUCUGUGGCGAAGGCGACUAUCUGGGCCAACACUGACACUGAGGCACGAAAGCGUGGGGAGCAAACAGGAUUAGAUACCCCUGUAGUCCCUGUCUCUUAUAC